rnacentral:lncRNA from 10 species
CUCUUUCCCCCGCCUCCUCUCCUAGCCUCCCCAACUCUCCUCUACCCCAAUCUUCUCCUGCCCUCUCCUCUGCUUCCCCGGCCUCCCCCUUCUGACUCUCCUCUCCCCUCUUUGUAUCCCCCAUCUUGCCUCCCUGCUUCCCACAUCCGACCACCCGACCUCUCUCCUCAGACGUGGACGAAUGUCGCGAGCGAGGCCCAGCCCUGUGCGGGUCGCAGCGCUGUGAGAACUCUCCCGGCUCCUACCGCUGUGUCCGGGACUGCGAUCCUGGGUACCACGCGGGCCCCGAGGGCACCUGUGACGAUGUGAACGAGUGUGAAACACUACAGGGUGUAUGUGGAGCUGCCCUGUGUGAAAAUGUCGAAGGCUCCUUCCUCUGUGUCUGCCCCAACAGCCCGGAAGAGUUUGACCCCAUGACUGGACGCUGUGUUCCCCCACGAACUUCUGCUGGCACGUUCCCAGGCUCGCAGCCCCAGGCACCUGCUAGCCCCGUUCUGCCCGCCAGGCCACCU